rnacentral:misc_RNA from 1 species
CGACAAAACAGGUUGGACACCAUUGAGAAUGAGAGUAACAGCUAGAAAGGGGCUGAGCUCUGACACUGCUUUAGCAACAGCUUCACCUUCAGUGAAACCAUAGCUGAUGACUUCACGAAAUACCAUCACAAGAAUGGCAGCUAUCACAGAAAUCACGAAAGAGGAUGAAGUCACUAUAACAACAGAAAAUGCUGCAGAUUUUGGAUGCCCUGCUCCAAGCUCAUUGCUCACUCUUACACUGUUUUCAAUGCACAAAAGUCUCAAAAACUCUAGUAAAGACAAAAAAUUGAGAGGAUUAACGAAGAAACUGACCUGGCAGCAGCGUUGAAUCCGACUGAAAUCAUGUAUACCCAUAAAGAUACUGUCAAGCUGCAAGAGGCAUUCCAUCAUGAAGCUAUUACCACAAGAUAUCAAAUCUCAUAAGCGGAAGAUUCCCAAAUAGUGUCUAACUAUUUACCAAAUAGACAGAGAAUCCAAAGCGAUCUCUGCGUUUUGGAGCAGCCCCGCUAUGAGAACUAGUACCUCGAAGUACCAAGUCUCCAAGCACAACAUCACUGCAGAAGCAGCAGACAACUUGAAGAAGCUCCAAAGACCCGAAAAAGCCUCCCAGGAAAACCCAGUCCAUGUGUGUUUACAUCUUUUGCUGGUCACAAUGUACAAAAACUGAGCCAAAACCAAGAACCACCAGGAAAAACUCAAAAUCAAAGCUGCACCUAGCAAGCCCCAGUUGAACUUGUACACUGCAAGCCAAGUGAAUAAGAGGUGCAAUAUAAUUCCAGCCAAUGAUAUGUAUGCGCUAGGAGCAAUUAUGCUUUGUGCUUGAAGGAAUUUUUGUAUAGGAAAGUUGACAGCAUAAGCGAAAAUUUGAGGAAUGAGCCCAAACACAAAAAGUUCAGCUGCAGUUGCAAUGUCGUUUGGUUCACCGAGUAGAAGCAAAAUGGGCUUGCAAAACACAUAGAUCAACAUGAGAGGUAUCCCAGUUGCCAUGAGUAGAAGCAUUGAUCUUUGAAGAUAUAUGCCCAACAUUUCAAAUCUGUUCGCCCCAUAUGCUUGCCCACAUAGGGUUUCAACUGCACUUCCCAUUCCAAGCAUAACUCCAUAGGCGAAAACUUGGAUACCAGUGUUGCCAAGAGAGACAGCAGCCAGCUGAAGAUUUCCAAGAUGGCCACAGAAGAUCUGAGUGGACAUUGACACCACAUUAUUAAGCAAGUAUACAAUCACUGCAGGAGCUGCAAGCUUAAAGAGCAAUUUCAGUUCAACCCAUGUAGCUGAUCCGACCCUCUUAACGGUCGAUGACUGGGUGUCCGUUAGUAUCUCUUCUAGCUCGGAGCUCACCCCCUCAAAACAGGAGCUUUGAGGGUUCAUAUUUCUCUGUCUUUGUCUAAUUUCCCCGGCUGAGCAAGCCAAUUGCCCAUCCAUUAGUCAAUUUAACACAACCAUUGGAUGAACAUAUUUGACUGAAAGAAUACUCAUCUAACAAAUGUGAGAACGUGCAUACGAUACAUAUUAUCUCACAAAAUCCUUCUUUAUUGUUCAUUACAUAAACACAAUCUCACAAAAUCAUUCGCUACUAUAAAAUAUCUGAACACCUAUUUGAUUAGGAAGAUUAUAAAAUGUUUUCGGUGUGUGUCAUUUUCUUAUAAAAAAGUGAAUUCACUUUAUAAUAUUAAGAGUACAUCUCAUAUAAUAUAUAUAU